rnacentral:rRNA from 1 species
CAGUAGCCGCGGGAAUACGAGGGGGGCAAGCGUUGUUCGGAAUUAUUGGGCGUAAAGGGCGCGUAGGCGGUUUGGCAAGUUUGGUGUGAAAUCUUCGGGCUCAACUCGAAGUCUGCAUCGAAAACUGCCGGGCUUGAGUGUGGGAGAGGUGAGUGGAAUUUCCGGUGUAGCGGUGAAAUGCGUAGAUAUCGGAAGGAACACCUGUGGCGAAAGCGGCUCACUGGACCACAACUGACGCUGAGGCGCGAAAGCUAGGGGAGCAAACAGGAUUAGAUACCCCCGUAGUCCCUGUCUCUUAUAC